GGGUGACUAGCUCAGUGGAAGAGCGCUUCCUUCACUCGGAAGAGGUCACAGGUUCGAACCCUGUGUCGCCCACCA
rnacentral:tRNA from 1 species